rnacentral:rRNA from 1 species
GCUUGUCUCAAAGAUUAAGCCAUGCAUGUCUAAGUAUAAGCACUUAUACCGUGAAACUGCGAAUGGCUCAUUAUAUCAGUUAUAGUUUAUUUGAUAGUUCCUACUACUUGGAUAACCGUAGUAAUUCUAGAGCUAAUACAUGCGACAACCCCUGACUGCUUGCAGAAAGGGCGUAUUUAUUAGAUACAACCAACCCUUCGGGUCCCUGGUGAAUCAUAAUAACUUAGCGAACCGCAUGCUUCGGCGGCGGUGAUUCAUUCAAGUUUCUGCCCUAUCAGCUUUCGAUGGUAGGGUAUUGGCCUACCAUGGCGGUGACGGGUGACGGAGAAUUAGGGUUCGAUUCCGGAGAGGGAGCCUGAGAGAUGGCUACCACAUCCAAGGAAGGCAGCAGG